CUGAGUAAGCUAGAGUAAGAAGAAAAUGGCAGUCCUUCAUGGCCACCAUUUCCUUGUUUUCCUGCCAGGUGACUGGACCAGCCCCACCCUCAUCCACAUGAAGGCAGUCCCCGGCUAUACUAGGAGGUGAUGAUGGUGAGCAGAGUUCUGCCUUCCACUCUUAACUCACUGAGAAAAGGAAUUUUACACAACAGUGAGCUCAAAGGAGAGAGUAAGAAAGUACAAAUGACUCCACCCAUCGCUGGACUAUGAGUGCAGUGACGAAAAGUGAAGGCAAGAAUGACAACAUUCAGCGCUUGCCGGCAUGGCUCAGUGCUUGGAGCGUCAGCCUGCACACCGGAGGGUCUGGGGCUUGGUUCCUGGUGUGACCGGGGGCACAUACCUGGGUUGCAGAUCGGGGCACGUGUGGGAGGCAACCAAUCAAGUGUCUCUUUCACAU